AGGCAAGUGCUUUAUCUCUGAGCUAUAUCCCCUGCUCUAAAACCACAUUUUUUUUUUUUAAAGAAAAGGUACAAUAGGGUCCACUCACUUUAAAACACCAAGGGGAGAAAUUUUGAGAAUCUCAAUAUAAAAGACUGAGAAGUCAUUCACCAAAUAUUUAGAUUCCCAUGCGUCUCUUUCAUCAACUGAGAGUUUAGCAUGAGAGCAGCAGAGCUUCCAGGGCCUUGCACACUGCUGAAAACCGGAAGGGAGCACAUCAUCAACGCCUCACGGUCGGGUUUGGAGGGGGGGGAUGUAGGUAACUCUCUGUGUUGCCCCUCCCAGCUCCCCCUCCCAGACGGGAAGACUUAGCCUCCUGCUGGUGGGAUUGGAUAAACCUGGCUAACACUCUCCAGCUGCUACCUCUGUAGCAGAGGAGUUGCCCAUAGCCGCAGAGGACGCUGCUCCAGGUUGGGCCCAAUGCCCUCCCCCAGUGCAGGGCAGGUUGCAAGGGCUCUUUCAGUUUCAGGAUCCUGGCAGAGUGGCUGAGGCCAUAUGACUCAUACUGGUCAAUAAAAUGUGAGUAAAUGUUAGGUGUUACUUCCUGGUGGAAACUUUGUACUUUGUCUUGUACUUCUCCUCUGGGACGUGUGGAAACACUGGAUUAUAACCAAAAUGACCUUCCCAGAACUUUGAACUUGCUGUGUUCCUGACUAGACAGUAGUAUUUGAAGGAAGGAAAGAGAGAGAGAGAGUGUACCUAUACAAAAGGAAAGAGACAGUUAUUCUAGUCUCAGCCUUACGAGGAUAACCAUAAUAAAUAAAUAUAAACUCAGGACAGCGUUCCUGGAGAGAUUAAGUAUGUCAGUCAUGUUGGUGGCCCCAUGUAUAGUUCAUUUUGUGGGAGGGAUCUAUGAGUAGUGCCACUUGUCUCAGAGAAUGGCAUUUGUACAAUUUAGAAAUUUAUAUGGGUGACAUGUUUAGACAAUUAUUUAAGGUAUCCUUUCUUUUUCAGCAGAUUCAAAUGCUUUUGAGUUUUGCUUUGUCAUGGCAGAGAUGGAUGUGAGCUUUGCGGAAUGCUGAUUUCACUUCUUCCAGUGACAGCCAUAUGUAGUUCUUUACUAGGAUGACUGUACCACAGCUCUUGCUUUGGAAUUGCCGAGGCCAAGGGCCAAGAAACAUGGAACCACCUGACCAUGGACUGAAACCCCUGAAACCAUGAACCAAAUGAAACCUUUCCUCCUUAAUGUUCUCAUUCUCAGGGUCUCACCAAAGUUCAAGCUGCCCUUGAACUCAUUAUGGAGCUCAGGAUAACUCCAAGCUCACAGAGCUCCUCCAGCCUCAGCCUCCCAAAUGCUGGGAUUACAGGUCUCAGGAACCAGGACUCUCCUUGGUCUUUGAAGUCCUUGGCUUGCUCAGAGUAGCAGAAAGUGAAGAACAACAGUGUGGCUAUAGGUGGGAUAGGAGAAUGGACUUAAUUUGAGUGUUAAAAUAAACAAGACCUUUUUUUGUAUCCCAAGUUGCUGGUUAUAUGUGUAUAAUAUGCAUGUAAUUCGGUAAGGUCAGAAUGGCACCAGACACAAAACACACAGAAAAAUAAAAAUAGUACAGCAGUGUUAAAAGUGUUGGAGUUCAAUUGGUUUUCCUUCAGUGUGGUUAUGUCUUUAAUAAAAAGGUCAAAACAUGUUAUUGUUAUUUGCAUUACAAUUAAAUUUACAUUGAAAAUAAAUCUUUAAGAAUUG